GGGGGUGAAGAGGGAGGCAGGCUGUGCACACGUGGCCAUGUGUGAAGACCAGGCUCCUCAUCCCUGAUGGAGCUGGGCAGUGUCCUGAGGCGUAGCUUCUCCUCCUCUUCCUCCUCCUCACUGCUGCUGCUGGAGGCCAACAGCCGGCUGCUCCUCCAUGGCUUCCUCUACCUGGUGCUGUACCCUGCUUUAUGCUUCUUUCAUUCACUGAGAACUUCAGUACUCAUGCCACAGGAAUGGGAAAAACUAGUGCCUAGUUUUCCAGGCAGCAGAAGUCCUUUAAUGACAGCAGGUGGUACCGGAUGUGCAGCUCACCUGACGUGGUCAACACUGCAAGCAGAUUAUGGCGCUCAAACAAAGUACUUAGAGUACACAGCCUGAGGGAGCAAGAGAAUGUGCACAGGAACAGCAUCCGCAACCCAGUCUGAAUUAGCUGGCACCCAGCUGCUGCAUUACCAGUGAACUCAGCCUGCUUCUUCCCAUCAGAGAACAGCCUGCAGUAUAUAUGGAGACCCUCUGAUCCCUGGUCUAACUCCAGAGCAGAAAUGCAAUACAGCUACGCUGUCUGAUACUUUGGUGCAUGCAGAGGAACCCCAAGAAUCUCACCCUUAGUUAUUCAUAGAUAUAUUCAUAGAUAUUAGGUUUGGAAGGGACCUCAGUAGGUCAUGGAGUCUGAUCCCCUACCCUGGGCAGGAAAGAGAGCUGGGGUCAGACAACUCCAGCUAGGUGCUUGUCCAGUCUCCUCUUGAAGACCCCCAAGGUAGGGGAGAGCACCACCUCCCUGGGAAGUCCAUAAUAUAUAUACAGUUUUAUUAAGUUUUAUUAAUUAAUACUCAAUUAAGCUUUGAGUAUUAAGGAUUAUGCCAUUAACUCUACUGAAGUUAAAGAUAUUAUCCCACUGUAAAAUAAGCCACAGAAAACAUAUUGAGGGUUAUUCUAAUCCAAAUUAUAUCACCCUAACCUUAACAAGAUUUAAUAUUUAUCCUGGGGUAACUCUUAAAGGACAACCAGAUCUGGGCUUCAUUGGGAUGAUACAAAAAAACAGAAGGGCAGCAGCACCCCUCUGCAGGCUGCACAGGCACCGCCCAGCUGGCCAACAUGGGGGAGAAGCUUGCACACAGUGGCUGCUGCCACUGCUACCCACCACCCUGCACUGCUGCUGCUCUGCAUCCGGCCAUGCACCACCUCCCCACCCCGCCCAGCUGCUGGGGGUAUACUUAUUAAAAAAGGUUGAAAACCCCUGCAGUAGUGUUUCCAGAUGAGAUCAGAACCAGCUCAAGAGUCCUUUGAAAUGAGCAUUUGGAAGUCUUUGUUCAAGGCAGUCAUUGAGCUGUAAUAGGAGAAAUACC